rnacentral:misc_RNA from 1 species
AUGCGAUAAGUAGUGUGAAUUGCAGAAUUCAGUGAAUCAUCGAAUCUUUGAACGCACAUUGCGCCCCUUGGUAUUCCAUGGGGCAUGCCUGUUCGAGCGUCAUUUGUACCCUCAAGCAUUGCUUGGUGUUGGGUGUUUGUCCCGCUGUUACGCGUGGACUCGCCUUGAAGCAAUUGGCAGCCGGCAAUCUGGUGAUGGAGCGCAGCACAUUUUGCGCUUCUUGCUAUAGAUAACGGCGUCCAUCAAGCCUUUUUUUUGCUCUUGACCUCGGAUCAGGUAGGGAUACCCGCUGAACUUAA